UACGAAGGGUGCAAACGUUGUUCGGAAUUACUGGGCGUAAAGCGCACGUAGGCGGCCGCUUAAGUCAGGGGUGAAAUCCCGGGGCUCAACCCCGGAACUGCCUUUGAUACUGGGUGUCUGGAGGUCGAGAGAGGUGAGUGGAAUUCCGAGUGUAGAGGUGAAAUUCGUAGAUAUUCGGAGGAACACCAGUGGCGAAGGCGGCUCACUGGCUCGAUACUGACGCUGAGGUGCGAAAGCGUGGGGAGCAAACAGG
rnacentral:rRNA from 1 species